ACAGACAUUGUUCAAAUCUUGAAGUGCCCUCAAUUUUGCGAUUUAGUAGCAUCUUUUUAAUGACCUUCGCGUCAGCUGAAUGUUUACGUUUAACGGCCUUGUCCUUCGGAAUUUGGAUCGCACGGAGUUCGCAUCGCUCCGGUUCGUUUUUUUACAGGUGGCAUCUUGCGUCAACAAUGUGGAAGAACGCUAGUGGCUUUCAAAAGCGAAAAAGGAAACGGCAAAAAGAGGCAGCCGAUGAAGCUAGGAAAUUCAAAAAACUAGACUCUUUUCUUUUUGGAGAACGCGCUGUUAACGAGGCCGACGAGCGGCGCCACUGCAGACAUCGAUGACCGGGACUCCGGGAACGAUCCUCUCCCGUCCUGUUCCGGGUCGGCUGCUGCCACCCGACAGCCGCAUCCGCCAGUCCCAGCGGCCGGUGUGCAGAGGCCGACGAGCGGCGCCGCUGCAGACAUCGAUGACCGGGACUCCGGGAACGGUCAGUAUAUUGGAUAGCUUGAUUGGCUACCUGUGUUACCUAACUUACCUGUCCGCUAUCGUCACAAUUCACAAACGGCUGUUUGAGCUAAUUAU